GCGGGUGGGCCAACAAGAGGGGAGGGCGGAUGGGUGCCGUGACUUGGUGGUGGGCCCCACCGCGAGCAGCAACAGCCCAGCCCAACACACGGGCGCCAUCCAAACCCACCAGGCAGGCUGUAAUCCCAGCUCCGACCGUAUCUCGCAACAAAAUGUUGGUUGCGCAGGGUCGGGCUCACUGCGUGACACAGCGUCCGAUGCCUGGUGCAGGGCACGAAGGCAUGUUUAUGCGUCAUGCGGUAUAGUUAUGCGUCAUGCGGUAUUGUUAUUGGCUGGGCAUAGCAUGCUGGCCGAACUGCACAAAACUCCACAUCGCUCACUGAGGGCGAAAUAUCCGGAAAAACAAAUUCGGCACUUGGGCCUAGCGCACACAUCGAAUGCAUAUAGGUUGGCUUGGGGUGCGUCAGCCAAACUACAAGGGUGGUGCCGCGUGAUAGUAUGAUGUGCGUGCGGACCUCAAGACGUACAGGGUGACGCAUGAUCACGUAAGCCCGCUCCGUUGUCAACACGAAGCAAUAGCGAGGCGCAGGCUUGCCGUGCACGGUACACUCAAGGCGUAUUGCGACAGGGCACGCAGCAGGGCACGCAACAAGUCGAAGCGUCCAUAACGACAGGGCAGGCAGCAUAAUUGCAUGCGGCACACAGGCCAUAUCGCAAGACACAUGAUGCGAGGCGCAAAGCCUGUUGCUGGCGGCACACACGCCGUAUCCGAACGUGGCGCUCAGACCACACAUUGUCCACAACGCAAAGGCAUGUACAACGAAGGCACGUAAGCAUUUCAAUGCCGUCUAUAAUCCACAACGCAAGAGUGUGGGGCCCGUUGCUUGCGGCACACAGGUCGUAUCAUAAGGGCACGUAUGCCAUCUAUUACCCAAAAGCAAGGGUGCGAAGCCGUUGCUUGCGGCACACAGGUCACAUCAUACGGGCACGUAUGCCGUGAAUUGUCCAUAAAACAAGGGUGCGGAGCCCGUUGCUUGCGGCGCACAGGCCGUAUCAUAAGAACACGUACGCGGCGCAUUGUCCAUGAAGCAAGGGCGCGGAGCCCGUUGCCUGCGGCACACAGGCCGUAUCAUGAGGGCACGUACGCCGUGAAGUGUCCAUGGAGCAAGGGCGCGGAGCCCGUUGCCUGCGGCGCACAGGCUGUAUCAUGAGGGCACGUACGCCGUAAAUUGUCCAUGAAGCCAGGGCGCGGAGCCCGUUGCUAGCGGCGCACAGGCCGUAUCAUAGGGGCACGUAUGCCGUCCAUUGUCCAUAAAGCAAGGGCACGGAGCCCAUUGCUUGCGGCGCACAGGCCGUAUCAUAAGGGCACGUAUGCCGUCCAUUGUCCAUAAAGCAAGGGCGCGGAGCCCGUUGCUAGCGGCGCACAGGCCGUAUCAUAGGGGCACGUAUGCCGUCCAUUGUCCAUAAAGCAAGGGCGCGGAGCCCGUUGCUUGCGGCACACAGGCCGUAUCAUAAGGGCACGUAUGCCGUCCAUUGUCCAUAAAGCAAGGGCGCGGAGCCCGUUGCUUGCGGCGCACAGGCCGUAUCAUAAGGGCACGUAUGCCGUCCAUUGUCCAUAAAGCAAGGGCGCGGAGCCCAUUGCUUGCGGCGCACAGGCCGUAUCAUAAGGGCACGUAUGCCGUCCAUUGUCCAUAAGGCAAGGGCGCAAAGCCCGUUGCUUGCGGCGCACAGGCCGGAUCCCAACGGCACACACGCCCUUUCCCCAAGGGCACGCGGGCCCUGCGGCCUGGAUAGGCAGACAGGAGAAGUACCGCGCCAAAAGUCCUGAGGGUCUUGGGGAGGUGGGGGUGGCACAAUGGAAGAUGUGGAAAGGUAUUGCACAAAGCUGUGAACUGUAAAGCGACGGGUAGACACGAAGGCACGGCAAGCAGGACCGCGCAUGGCAAGCAAGUAGCCCGCCCGCACAGCUGUGCAUGCCCUUUUGCUUUCAGUGACUUGCCGAACGCCUUGUCCGCAACGCUUCGCGCGCCUUUGCUCCGCUUGAAAGCUCCGCUCUGCUCCGAUUUGCUCCCGAAUGCGGCCCCCGAACCAAAGCGUGGUUCAAAGCGCCAGAGAAGCUUCGAAGGGCAUUCCCUUACGAUCAGAGAGCGAGCGUGAUCAAGCUAAGGGGUUCCAUUGAGCAGGAUCGCGCAACAAAACGCUGCAACUCCGUCUGAGUAUAUAUUAAACGCUUAUUCGGUCCAUACAUGGUCAAGUAUAGUUAGAACCAGGUAUAGGAUUGCAAAGAAAGUCCAGAAAUGUAGGGAACGUUUAAGUGCGACACACUGAGGUCACCGUCCCGGCAGAGGGACGAUCCGAAAUACAGUACAGAAGCACAACGGCAGAUAAGGCGCCGUGUGCUCCUGACGCGUACAAGACCCAGCUCGGUUCGGCCCCAUGCACAGGCACGUACCCGAGCGUCCUGCGCCGUGCGUGACUCUAACGCAACACGGCAGUUACGUCGCAAUAACUAGACUUAUCUCCACUGCGCUGCGAUAAGUCAGCGCAUAUCCCCUCCCCUCUGUCCCAUUGCGCACCAUUGCAAGGCCAAGUAUGCCGGGAACUUAGCCCCUGAGCCGAGCUACCGGCUAUGGGCUCAUUCCAAACGUCCAUUUCAGCGCGCAGUUGUGCGAACGGGGUGGGAUGGGGGUGCGGGGGGAGGAAUGCCCGGACUGUGCGGGGAGGCGCCGGUGAACACAAGCGCGCUGGCGAGCCAAGGCCGUGGGCCGCGAUUUCGCGAAAUUGCCACCACGAUAGUAUGCACCGUUGAUACCACAAAACUCAGCGCUGCUGAUGCAUCGAGAUGAAGCAAACGACGUCGCUGCUUCUGCCGAUCACUCGCAUCCACAAUGUCUUGUCAAAUGUUUAUUGCCUUGAGGUAUCAUCGUCUCUCG
rnacentral:lncRNA from 1 species